rnacentral:lncRNA from 1 species
GUUGCUGGUGGAGAGAAGCUGGUUCUGGUUUUUAGUUCAAGCUCUGAUGCAUCGUCCAACCCAGCAGGGUAGUUUAAGAACCAGAAAAGAAAUGCAUCACUGUUUACUUCUGGGCUGUAGUUUCUUUAUCUACAUAAUGGAGAUAAAAAUACCAUUUACUCUGACCCAGAUACAUCUCUCUUUCUUUUUAAAAGCAGCUGAAAGCAUAAGUGACUUCUGGAUCGAUCAUCUUUCCUGGAUGCUUUCUACUGCCUGACAUCUGGGGCUUGUUAUCUCGUCUGCGAACUGAGAGCCUUAGGACGAGGAUGAAGGAUUUGCUUGCAUCCCAUCCUGUGUGAUAAAUUUCAUCAACAGUGUCCAUUCCUUUCUGAAUCGACGUGCCUGAGGAGACGUUGAGCUUUAUCCACCCCCGUGUGCAUGCAGAGCCUGCUUCUGCUUUGGGAACCACUUGCUCAAUUUCCAGUCUGGGUGAUCAGCUUCAAGUUACUCUUCACAUCAGAAGAGAAAACUGAAUUUUAUUCAGUCUGAGGUUCUAGGCUGAAUUGAAGAAUUGCAGAAUUGGGACUUAAUUCAGCCCUGAGUAGGGGUUAGCAACGUGCAAAGAAGAGAAGCUGUGUUAUGUGUAUUAAACCCUGACGAGUGGAAGAGGAGACUCUGCCUAGAGAUCCCUUUCCUGAGAUGCUUUUGCAGAAGUGUGGCUACAGCCUAAAUCCAAGAAGAGAAAAUGACGAAACCGGGACUCCAGUGAACUCUACAGCCUUAAUGCUGCAUCCUGAGUGGGGCAUCCAGGCUCCAGAUGGCAGGGACCCACCGACACUGCUACUGUUAGGACCUGUUAGCAAAGGGCGACUUGCUGCAUCUGUCUCUCCCGAGUCCGGUACAGUCCUGGUUUCAUCACGGUGGUUGACUCACCCCUUGUCAAGCCCUGGAUUCUUCAAGCUAUACCCUCACACACACAAAAAAAGCAUUUGAAAUAUUUUGUUCAAAAGGAAUUUAAUGACAAUUUGAUGUUCCUAAGAAACUCCAAUUCUGGUAUUGAAAAAAACCUAUAUACUCCAAAUGUCAAGAAAUAAA